GACGGACGCUGGCGGCGUGCCUAAUACAUGCAAGUUGAGCGCUGAAGGUUGGUACUUGUACCAACUGGAUGAGCAGCGAACGGGUGAGUAACGCGUGGGGAAUCUGCCUUUGAGCGGGGGACAACAUUUGGAAACGAAUGCUAAUACCGCAUAAAAACUUUAAACACAAGUUUUAAGUUUGAAAGAUGCAAUUGCAUCACUCAAAGAUGAUCCCGCGUUGUAUUAGCUAGUUGGUGAGGUAAAGGCUCACCAAGGCGAUGAUACAUAGCCGACCUGAGAGGGUGAUCGGCCACAUUGGGACUGAGACACGGCCCAAACUCCUACGGGAGGCAGCAGUAGGGAAUCUUCGGCAAUAGACGAAAGUCUGACCGAGCAACGCCGCGUGAGUGAAGAAAGUUUUCGGAUCGUAAAACUCUGUUGGUAGAGAAGAACGUUGGUGAGAGUGGAAAGCUCAUCAAGUGACGGUAACUACCCAGAAAGGGACGGCUAACUACGUG
rnacentral:rRNA from 1 species